UACGAAGGGGCUAGCGUUGCUCGGAAUCACUGGGCGUAAAGGGUGCGUAGGCGGGUCUUUAAGUCAGGGGUGAAAUCCUGGAGCUCAACUCCAGAACUGCCUUGAUACUGAAGAUCUUGAGUUCGGGAGAGGUGAGUGGUAACUGCGAGUGUAGAGGUGAAAUUCGUAGAUAUUCGGAGGAACACCAGUGGCGAAGGCGACUAACUGGACAGGCAUUGACGCUGAGGCACGAAAGCGUGGGGAUCAAACAGG
rnacentral:rRNA from 1 species